UCUCCGUAGGUGAACCUGCGGAGGGAUCAUUACCAGAGAUGGCGGGCCUCCGUGCCCCCGUCCCCAACCCAUUGUUGACCAAGACCUUUUUGCCUCGGGGGCAGAGCGUCCGCCGCCGCCCCCGGAGGACCACCGAACGCUGUCUCUAUACGUCGGAGUAUUGAUUAAAUGAAUGAAAACUUUCAACAACGGAUCUCUUGGUUCUG
rnacentral:misc_RNA from 1 species